rnacentral:rRNA from 1 species
AAACGUAGGAGGCGAGCGUUAUCCGGAUUCAUUGGGCGUAAAGGGCAAGUAGGCGGUAUGCCAAGUUGGUUGUGACAUCUCCCGGCUCAACUGGGGGGGUGCGGCCAAAACUGGCAAACUAGAGGGCAGAAGAGGGGAGUGGAAUUCCUGGUGUAGCGGUGGAAUGCUCAGAUACCAGGAGGAACACCAGUGGCGAAGGCGACUUUCUGGUCUGCACCUGACGCUGAGAGGCGAAAGCUAGGGUAGCGAACGGGCUUAGAUACCCCGGUAGUCCUAGCUGUAAACGUUGGAUACUGGGUAUUUGGGGGGUAAGACCCUUGAGUGCCGAAGCAAACGCGUUAAGUAUCCCGCCUGGGGACUACGGCCGCAAGGUUAAA